rnacentral:rRNA from 1 species
UACGUAGGGGGCUAGCGUUGUCCGGAAUCAUUGGGCGUAAAGCGCGCGUAGGCGGCCCGGUAAGUCCGCUGUGAAAGUCAAAGGCUCAACCUUUGAAUGUCAGCGGAUACUGCCGGGCUAGAGUCCGGAAGAGGCGAGUGGAAUUCCUGGUGUAGCGGUGGAAUGCGCAGAUAUCAGGAGGAACACCAACGGCGAAGGCAGCUCGCUGGGACGGUACUGACGCUGAGGCGCGAAAGCUAGGGGAGCAAACGGGG